UAGCCAUGAGAGAACAGGGAUAUCUCUUGGUUGCUUUUAAAAGACAACACAGUUGUGGUACAUCUUACAUCACCAGGCACUUUGUUCCAGAGAGUAGGCCCAUAAUUAUUAUUAAAUAAGCAAUGACAAAGCAGCAUACUUCGGUCACUAUGGAGGGGCAAACUUAGAUAAUUUAAGCAGAGGAAUCUUCUUGGCUGUAAACGAUCGUAAUCAGCAGAAAUCUCUCUAUGUGAAACAAAGUCCGGAGACAGCGUUGGUCCAGCUGGGCGACUCAGUGACUCUCCAGUGUUCACUUCUCUCCAAGACAAAAGG